rnacentral:rRNA from 1 species
ACGGGGCUAAACCAUGCACCGAAGCUGCGGCAGCGACACUGUGUGUUGUUGGGUAGGGGAGCGUUCUGUAAGCCUGUGAAGGUGGCCUGUGAGGGUUGCUGGAGGUAUCAGAAGUGCGAAUGCUGACAUAAGUAACGAUAAAGCGGGUGAAAAGCCCGCUCGCCGGAAGACCAAGGGUUCCUGUCCAACGUUAAUCGGGGCAGGGUGAGUCGACCCCUAAGGCGAGGCCGAAAGGCGUAGUCGAUGGGAAACGGGUUAAUAUUCCCGUACUUGGUGUUACUGCGAAGGGGGGACGGAGAAGGCUAUGUUGGCCGGGCGACGGUUGUCCCGGUUUAAGCGUGUAGGUGUGUGUUCCAGGUAAAUCCGGUUCACUUUAACACUGAGGCGUGAUGACGAGGCACUACGGUGCUGAAGCAACAAAUGCCCUGCUUCCAGGAAAAGCCUCUAAGCAUCAGGUAACAUCAAAUCGUACCCCAAACCGACACAGGUGGUCAGGUAGAGAAUACCAAGGCGCUUGAGAGAACUCGGGUGAAGGAACUAGGCAAAAUGGUGCCGUAACUUCGGGAGAAGGCACGCUGACACGUAGGUGAAGUGAUUUACUCAUGGAGCUGAAGUCAGUCGAAGAUACCAGCUGGCUGCAACUGUUUAUUAAAAACACAGCACUGUGCAAACACGAAAGUGGACGUAUACGGUGUGACGCCUGCCCGGUGCCGGAAGGUUAAUUGAUGGGGUCAGCGCAAGCGAAGCUCCUGAUCGAAGCCCCGGUAAACGGCGGCCGUAACUAUAACGGUCCUAAGGUAGCGAAAUUCCUUGUCGGGUAAGUUCCGACCUGCACGAAUGGCGUAAUGAUGGCCAGGCUGUCUCCACCCGAGACUCAGUGAAAUUGAACUCGCUGUGAAGAUGCAGUGUACCCGCGGCAAGACGGAAAGACCCCGUGAACCUUUACUAUAGCUUGACACUGAACAUUGAGCCUUGAUGUGUAGGAUAGGUGGGAGGCUUUGAAGUGUGGACGCCAGUCUGCAUGGAGCCGACCUUGAAAUACCACCCUUUAAUGUUU